CGCGGCCUAUCAGCUUGUUGGUGAGGUAACGGCUCACCAAGGCAUUGACGGGUAGCUAGUCUGAGAGGACGAAUAGCCACACUGGGACUGAGACCCGGCCCAGACUCCUACGGGAGGCAGCAGCAGGGAAUCUUGCACAAUGGACGAAAGUCUGAUGCAGCGACGCCGCGUGGGGGAUGAAGGCCCUAGGGUCGUAAACCCCUUUCAGUGGGGACGAAAAUGACGGUACCCACAGAAGAAGGUCCGGCCAACUACGUGCCAGCAGCCGCGGUAAGACGUAGGGACCGAGCGUUGUCCGGAUUUAUUGGGCGUAAAGAGCUCGUAGGCGGUUGCGUAAGUCGGAUGUGAAAACUUGAGGCUCAACCUCAAGACGCCAUCCGAUACUGCGCUGACUUGAAUCCAGUAGGGGAGUGUGGAAUUCCUGGUGUAGCGGUGAAAUGCGCAGAUAUCAGGAGGAACACCUAUGGCGAAGGCAGCACUUUGGGCUGGUAUUGACGCUGAGGAGCGAAAGCAUGGGUAGCAAACAGGAUUAGAUACCCCGGUAGUCCAUGCCGUAAACGGUGGGCACUAGGUGUGGGGACUUUCAACGGUUUCCGUGCCGAAGCUAACGCAUUAAGUGCCCCGCCUGGGGAGUACGG
rnacentral:rRNA from 1 species